rnacentral:lncRNA from 1 species
CUUUUCUGUUUCCAGCAGGACACACCUGGCAAUGGAUGCGACAUUCAGCACUGCCCAGGUUUCUUCCACUUGGAGGAGGCAAACUGGUGAAUGGAAGGAGGCAAUCCUCUGGCAGUGGAAUGCUAAGGAGCGAUAAUAAGGCAAGUUUGCUUGCUUGGGGGCUGCUGGUAUCUGUGAUUAGAAGCUGGCGGACGUCUCAUGAUGGGCCUAACAAUAGCUUCUGGCACAAUGGGACACCAUGACAGAAAUGAGAGCACACAGAAACACCAUUUACCUUCCUGCCGCCACGGUACCUGUUUAUCUACUUACACUGGUGUGCUUUCAAACUGCUAGGUUGGCAGGAGCUGGGACAGAGCCACGGGAGCUCACUCCAUCCUGGGGAUUCAAACCGCCGACCUUCCGAUCGGCAAGCCCAAGAGGCUCAGUGGUUUAGACCACAGUGCCACCUGUGUCCACUGUGUGCAAAGUGAGCACACCACAUUCCCUACCCUGGUCACUGUGAUGGUGACAGUCAGUCAGUUCAAGAUACUAUCUUCUUCCAUCCUUUUUCAGUGGUUGCGUACAGGAAAGGGCUGUAGUUAAGUAACAGAGCAUUGGACCCCGUGACCCCACACAGUCCCUUCCAACUCUGCAAUUCUGUGAACUAUGAUCUGUUUUGCAUGCGUAAGGUUCCAGGUUCAAUGUCUAGCAUCUCCAGAAUGGGCUGGGUAUUGUCCCCAGUCUGGAACACUGGCAGUCAGUGUAGACAAUACUGAGGAAGAUGGGCUAAUGGUCUGACUCAGCCAGAGGCAGCGUCCCAUGUUCCUUUGUGCGUCUUUGCACAAGUUACAGCUAUUGUUGUUAAAUAAUAAUAAUAAUAAUAAUUUAUUGAUUAUACCCUGCCCAUCUGGCUGAGUUUCCCCAGCCACUCUGGGCGGCUUCCAAUCAAGUGUUAAAAACAAUAAAGUAGAAGACCAAGACAUUGAGAACCCGAAAGGAAUAAGGAAAGGAUUUGUGGACUUUUAUAGAGAUCUAUAUAAAAGAAAAGAGAAAUCUAAGAUAAAGACGAUAGAAGACUAUUUAAAGAAGAAAGGGGUGCAAAAAAUUCCAGUGACAAAUAAAAAUAAAUUGAAUGAACCAAUUGGAAUAGAAGAAGUUAAAACGGCUAUAAAAGAAUUAAAAAGUGGGAAGACUCCGGGACUGGAUGGAUUUGGUGCAAGAUAUUAUAAAGAAAUGAAAGACAUCUUACUUGUACCAUUGGUAGAAGUUAUGAACAACAUUCUGAAAGAAGGACAAAUACCAGAGACAUGGAAAGAAGCAUAUAUAACAUUAAUUCCCAAGCAGGACUCAGAUUUAACUCAAGUUAAAAACUAUAGGCCAAUUUCGCUAUUGAACAAUGAUUAUAAAAUAUUUGCUAACAUCUUGGCAAAUAGAAUGAAAAAGACAUUAAAGGAAUUGAUCCAUAAGGACCAAACAGGAUUCCUGCCAGGGAGGCAGAUGAAAGACAAUAUAAGAAACAUAAUAAAUAUAAUAGAAUAUCUGACUAAUAAGAAAGAUAAGCAAGCGAUGUUGAUAUUUGUUGAUGCGGAAAAGGCAUUUGAUAAUAUUUCUUGGGAAUUUAUGUUAAAGAAUCUGGAAUUUCUGGAGAUGGGUCAUUCAUUUGUGAAUGGUGUAAAGGCAAUAUAUUCUGAACAAAGAGCAAAAUUAAUUGUUAAUAAUGUACUGACAGAUGAUAUUGCUAUAACCAAGGGUACAAGACAAGGGUGUCCCUUAUCACCAUUGUUAUUCAUAUCAGUCCUGGAAGUCUUGUUGAGAGCGUUAAGAAGUAAUGAUUUGAUAAAAGGUGUGACAGUUGGUUGUAAGGAAUAUAAGGUAAAAGCCUUCGCUGAUGAUUUGGUUAUAACAAUAGAAGACCCUAUUAAAAGUGUUAAGGAAGUGUUAGAAGAGAUAGAGCAAUUCGGACAAGUUGCCGGAUUCAAAUUAAAUAAGAGUAAAACGAAAAUAAUGGUUAAAAAUAUGGACCAAGAGAUAAUAGAAAGAAUUCAGCAACAAACAGAUAUGGAAGUGGUUAAGAAAGUUAAAUAUCUUGGGAUUAUAUUAACUCCCAAGUGUAUUGAUCUUUUUCAAAAUAAUUAUGUACCAGUCUGGAACAAGAUUAGGAAGGACCUGGAAGUGUGGGGAAGAAUGAAGUUGUCAUUUUGGGGAAGAAUUGCAACGGUAAAAAUGAAUGUGCUACCAAAAAUGUUGUUUUUAUUUCAAUCAAUACCAAUAAUUAAAGGUGUUACAAUAUUUAAAGAAUGGCAAAGAGCAUGCUCAAGAUACGUCUGGCAGGGCAAGAAGCCUAGAAUAAAAUUUAAGAUUUUAACGGAUGCAAAAGAUAGAGGAGGCUUUGCCCUGCCAGACCUAAAGUUAUAUUUCGAGGCUGCAUGUCUUUGCUGGGUGAAAGAAUGGAUAAAGUUGGAAAAUUCAGAACUUUUGGAUUUAGAAGGAUAUGAUAAUAGAUUUGGUUGGCACGCAUAUUUAUGGUAUGAGAAAAAAAGAGUGCAUAAAGGUUUUGAAAAUCACAUUUUCUGAGGUCCGCUGAUUGAAGUAUGGAAUAGGUACAAAAAUUUAUUAGAGUUUAAAACUCCAUUCUGGCUGUCGCCAUUGGAGGUAAUGAGUGUUAAAAAGAUCAAUAUGAUGGGGAGUUGGAUUACAUAUGAGAAUUUAAUUAUAAAAGAAGGAAAUAAAUGGAAAUUGAAGACAUACGAUGAAGUUAAAGAAUAUGUGUUUGAUUGGUUACACUACUUCCAAGUGAAUGCGAUGUUUAAAAAAUAGAUGCUGGAAAGAGGUUUUCAAGAUGAAAAAUCUAGAUUUUAAAAAGCAAUUGUGAAUAAUGAUGUUAAAAUUUUAUCAAAAAUGUAUAAAUUAUUACUUGAGUGGCAUACUAAGGAUGAAGAGGUUAAAGUUGCAAUGAUUCAGUGGGCCAAAGACUUUGGUUAUAAUAUUCAAUUUGAUGAUUGGAUAAGAUUGUGGAAAGAAGGAAUGAAAUUUACUGCAUGUACUACAAUAAAAGAAAACGUUAUGAAAAUGUUAUAUAGAUGGUAUGUUACACCAGUAAAACUUGGAAAGAUGUAUAAAGUGAGUAAUAAAUGUUGGAAAUGUCAGGAGAAAGAAGGAACAUUCUAUCAUAUGUGGUGGGAAUGUAAAAAAAUGAAAGGUUUCUGGGAAAUGAUUUAUAAUGAAUUGGAAAAAAAUGUUGAAAUAUACCUUUGUUAAAAAACCAGAAACUUUUCUGUUAGGAAUAUUAAGAAAAGACAUAAAAAAGAAGGAUGAGAAGUUGUUUUUAUAUGCAGUAACAGCGGCAAGAAUUUUGGUGGCACAAAAAUGGAAACAGGAAGAACUCCCGACGAAAGAAGAAUGGAGAAUGAAAUUGAUGGAAUACGCAGAAUUAGACAAGCUAACGGGGAGAAUUCGGAACCGGCGAGACCAGAGAUUUACCGAGGACUGGAAUAAAUUUACAGAGUAUAUUAAAAAUAUAUGUGAAGGUCAAUUAACGUUUGUAGGUUUUCAAGAAGCUCUGUGAUAAUAAUGGAAAGAAAUAUUGUUUUAUAAUAAUUGCUAAGAUUAAUUUGGUUAAAAACAAAACAAUACAGAUGCAAGAAAUGUGAAUAACUGUGAAAACAUGAAAAUUUCCAGAUAGACUGAAGGAAGUCUGAAAGUGGAAAGAUUAGAAUUGGAU